UUCCCCCUUAGAGUUUGAUCCUGGCUCAGGACGAACGCUGGCGGCGCGCCUAACACAUGCAAGUCGAACGAGCGAGAGAGAGCUUGCUUUCUCAAGCGAGUGGCGAACGGGUGAGUAACGCGUGAGGAACCUGCCUCAAAGAGGGGGACAACAGUUGGAAACGACUGCUAAUACCGCAUAAGCCCACAGCUCGGCAUCGAGCAGAGGGAAAGGGAGUGAUCCGCUUUGAGAUGGCCUCGCGUCCGAUUAGCUGGUUGGUGAGGUAACGGCCCACCAAGGCGACGAUCGGUAGCCGGACUGAGAGGUUGAACGGCCACAUUGGGACUGAGACACGGCCCAGACUCCUACGGGAGGCAGCAGUGGGGAAUAUUGCACAAUGGGGGAAACCCUGAUGCAGCGACGCCGCGUGGAGGAAGAAGGUCUUCGGAUUGUAAACUCCUGUUGUUGAGGAAGAUAAUGACGGUACUCAACAAGGAAGUGACGGCUAACUACGUGCCAGCAGCCGCGGUAAAACGUAGGUCACAAGCGUUGUCCGGAAUUACUGGGUGUAAAGGGAGCGCAGGCGGGAAAGCCAGUUGCAAGUGAAAUCCAUGGGCUCAGCCCAUGAACUGCUUCCAAACUGUUUUCUCGACUAUUGCACAGGUAGCGGAAUCCCGGGUGUAGCGGUGGAAUGCGUAGAUAUCGGGAGGAACACCAGUGGCGAAGGCGGCCUACUGGGCACCAACUGACGCUGAGGCUCGAAAGUGUGGGUAGCAGACAGGAUUAGAUACCCUGGUAGUCCACACUGUAAACGAUGAUUACUAGGUGUUGGAGGAUUGACCCCUUCAGUGCCGCAGUUAACACAAUAAGGUAAUCCACCUGGGGAGUACGACCGCAAGGUUGAAACUCAAAGGAAUUGACGGGGGCCCGCACAAGCAGUGGAGUAUGUGGUUUAAUUCGACGCAACGCGAAGAACCUUACCAAGUCUUGACAUCCUGCGACGGUGCUGGAAACAGUACUUUCCUUCGGGACGCAGAGACAGGUGGUGCAUGGUUGUCGUCAGCUCGUGUCGUGAGAUGUUGGGUUAAGUCCCGCAACGAGCGCAACCCUUAUGGUCAGUUACUACGCAAGAGGACUCUGGCCAGACUGCCGUUGACAAAACGGAGGAAGGUGGGGAUGACGUCAAAUCAUCAUGCCCUUUAUGACUUGGGCUACACACGUACUACAAUGGCGUUAAACAAAGAGAAGCGAGACCGCGAGGUGGAGCAAAACUCAGAAACAACGUCCCAGUUCGGACUGCAGGCUGCAACUCGCCUGCACGAAGUCGGAAUUGCUAGUAAUCGCAGAUCAGCAUGCUGCGGUGAAUACGUUCNCCGGGCCCUUGUACACAC
rnacentral:rRNA from 1 species